ensembl:lncRNA
UAAAAACAGGAGUCAUUAUGAGAAGAAGCAGCAGCCCAGAAGAAAUCAGUGCAAGUGAAAUCUUGGUUGUCUUGAAAUCAAUUGUCAAUCUUCCACAACCUUCACAGAAGCUGGAUUUCCUCCAAAGAAAGCAUCUUCAGGUACUGGAUUACAGAUCCAGGGUACAUGGAAAUCCAAAUAUAUCAAGGCCCUCAACAGCUCAAGUCAGAGACUAGAGGGUAGCUGGGAUCUCUUGAGAUGAAACUACCGGUUCUUCUUAAUUACCAG